UACGUAGGGUGCAAGCGUUAAUCGGAAUUACUGGGCGUAAAGCGUGCGCAGGCGGCUUUGCAAGACAGAUGUGAAAUCCCCGGGCUCAACCUGGGAACUGCAUUUGUGACUGCAAAGCUAGAGUACGGCAGAGGGGGAUGGAAUUCCGCGUGUAGCAGCGAAAUGCGUAGAUAUGCGGAGGAACACCGAUGGCGAAGGCAAUCCCCUGGGCCCGCACUGACGCUCAUGCACGAAAGCGUGGGGAGCAAACAGG
rnacentral:rRNA from 1 species